GCCCGGGUCGCCUAGGCGUCGGCUGGGCAAUGGUAGGGCGGUGGGCUCGAGACCCACUGGCGGAGUCCAUGCGGACGCAGUCAACCGCCGCGCGCGUUCAAAUCGCGCCCCGGGCGCCA
rnacentral:tRNA from 1 species